rnacentral:lncRNA from 1 species
GCGUGUGUUUGUGUUGUGGAGCAGUGUAAAGAAGAUGGCCGGAGCUACGAAAGGCAGAUAUAUCUUGGCACAUUCAUCUUUAAAGAAGUUUUGAUUACUUUCGUGGGAGAAAUGCAAAGAUACUGCCACAAACUCGAGGAUGACGUCAUGAAGUGGACGGCAUCCACGCGCAGCGGCAGGCGGAGCUUCAGGAAUUCAAGCCGUUUUACUUCCGGCAAAAAGCUUCAGGAUCUUCAGCGACUUUCAACAAAAAUCCUUCAGAUGCAGAAUGAACAUAUGGAAAGCAAAUGA